AUUGAACGCUGGCGGCAGGCCUAACACAUGCAAGUCGAGCGAGCGGCGGACGGGUGAGUAAUGUAUGGGGACUGCCCGAUAGAGGGGGCUAACUACUGGAAACGGUAGCUAAUACCGCAUACUAUCGGAUAACCCAUAUGGGAUUAGCUAGUUGGUGAGGUAAUGGCUCACCAAGGCGACGAUCCCUAGCUGGUCUGAGAGGAGGAUCAGCAACACGGGGACUGAGACACGGCCCAGAUUCCUACGGAGGCAGAAGUGGGGAAUAUGGCAAAAUGGGCGAAAGCCUGAUGCAGCCAUGCCGCGUGUAUGAAGAAGGCCCUAGGGUUGUAAAGUACUUUCAGUCGGGAGGCGUUGCCGACAGAAGAAGCACCGGCUAACUACGUGCCAGCAGCCGCGGUAAUUC
rnacentral:rRNA from 1 species